AACGAACGCUGGCGGCAUGCCUAACACAUGCAAGUCGAACGAGACCUUCGGGUCUAGUGGCGCACGGGUGCGUAACGCGUGGGAACCUGCCCUUAGGUUCGGAAUAACUCCCCGAAAGGGGUGCUAAUACCGGAUAAUGUCUUCGGACCAAAGAUUUAUCGCCUUUGGAUGGGCCCGCGUUGGAUUAGCUAGUUGGUAGGGUAAAAGCCUACCAAGGCGACGAUCCAUAGCUGGUCUGAGAGGAUGAUCAGCCACACUGGGACUGAGGCACGGCCCAGACUCCUACGGGAGGCAGCAGUGGGGAAUAUUGGACAAUGGGCGAAAGCCUGAUCCAGCAAUGCCACGUGAGUGAUGAAGGCCUUAGGGUUGUAAAGCUCUUUUACCCGGGAUGAUAAUGACAGUACCGGGAGAAUAAGCUCCGGCUAACUCCGUG
rnacentral:rRNA from 1 species